AUGGAAGAGUUUAUCUCGGAAGGUGGAAGAAACACUGCUAAAUCCUGUCCAUUUGUAAAGGGAUUGAUUGGCUUGGCUGUGGAAAAUCCAUCUGUAAAGAUGUAUCAACGAAUGCUGGAUAAACAGUGGAAAAAUACUGGCUGGGAUCAGAGCUCCAAGCAAGAUCUUUAGAAAGCAACAAGCUUCCCUCUUCUCUCUCUCUCUCUCUCUUUCUCUCUCUUUCCUUCCCCCUCUCGCCCUCUCUCUCCUCCCUUCCUGCUCCUCCUUCAGUGGAAAUCUUCCAUCUUGCAUCAGCUUUCAAGACAACAUAUUACUUAUGCUAAAAUCCUUAAUGUGAGGUGCCCUUUUAAAGAGGUUGUAUCAUUUAAUAACGUUCAUUGUGUUAGCUCCCCCUAAAGUAAUCACUGACUUUGAUGAGAACAUGCUCCAUGUUCCUUUAUUUGAUCUGGGAAUAAAAUUACCACGUCUUUGCUUUGCUAUCUGCUCCUUUUGCUCAAAUAAAUAAACAUGAAGCUGUCAGUGCUGGGGAAAAUCCACUGCAACACUCUUCUCCCCUUUUCGGGUGUUUUUUUCCCCUUUUUCUCUCUCUCCUGUUACGCACCUUUGAUUUUAUGUAAAGAGGAUUCUCCUACAACGUAGCACUCCCUUUAAAGUACACUAAGCACAUUGUGUUUGCUUUCUUCUGCUGCUUGUUUCCCAUGUAAGGGGAAGGGGAGGGGCAGACACAGAGUCUCCUGUCCCAGCAGAAGAGUUCCCUUAUCAAGCAGCCGUUCCUUUCUGUACAACUGACUGUAGUAUUUUUCUGAUUAAUAAUCAGAGGUACAAAAUGCCAACAGGGUUCUGGCAUUAAAGUAGGCCAGUGCCCAGAACUCAGAAAGAUUCACAAGCAUGCUUGACUUGUCCCCUUCCCCCCCACACACACACUAAUAACAGUUUCAGUGUACAGCCCUGGGGCCCCAGCAUAUUACACAGUCAUGCCACUAUGAUUCGAUUGAAGCUGCCAUGGCUGCUCCCCAUGUAAGUGUGAGGCCUGUGGUUUAGUGAAGUACUAGACAAGCUCUCUGGGGAUACUGAAUGUCCCUUCCUAAACUACUAAUCCCAUGAUUCCAUAGCACAUGGCAAUGACUAGUAAUGUGGAAUCAUUGUGCUAUAAUUAGGUAGUGUGAGAGAGCCACAACAAUGGUGGAAUCCAACCCUUCAAGACAAUCUUGUCUGUGAGAGGGUUACAAACUAAAACCGGUGCGUUUAGGUUUCCUAUUUCAAUAACAAUUUAGAUCCUAUCUGUCAAAGCCUCGACCCCCAAAUACCAGCAUUAACAGUCCAAAGUCAAGCUGAUAGUCCAACAGAGAUGCAAACAUUAACAGAAUAACACAAGAGGGAAUCCAAAUGUACAUUCCAGGGUCAUGAGCUGAUGACCCAGAGUGUCCAGAGUACAAGCUUGAAUCAGAGUCCAUAAGCUGAGGUCCAAGGUAAAUCCAGGGUUCACUAAACACAAGUUAGCAAGAGUCUAGGGUCAUGGCUUCUGGAACUGACAUUGCAGUCAACAAAUAGGUACCUGUCUUCAGU
ensembl:lncRNA